rnacentral:rRNA from 1 species
UACGAAGGGGGCUAGCGUUGCUCGGAAUUACUGGGCGUAAAGCGCACGUAGGCGGCUUUCUAAGUCGGGGGUGAAAUCCUGGAGCUCAACUCCAGAACUGCCUUCGAUACUGGAGAGCUUGAGUCCGGGAGAGGUGAGUGGAACUGCGAGUGUAGAGGUGAAAUUCGUAGAUAUUCGCAAGAACACCAGUGGCGAAGGCGGCUCACUGGCCCGGGUGACUGACGCC